rnacentral:rRNA from 1 species
UGAGCCAAGUUUAGGGUUUCUUAAAAACCCAAGCAGUAUUGAACUGAAGAGUUUGAUCAUGGCUCAGAUUGAACGCUGGCGGCAGGCCUAACACAUGCAAGUCGAGCGGAUGACGGGAGCUUGCUCCUUGAUUCAGCGGCGGACGGGUGAGUAAUGCCUAGGAAUCUGCCUGGUAGUGGG